rnacentral:rRNA from 1 species
UGCAGUCGGACGGCAGCACGGACUUCGGUCUGGUGGCGAGUGGCGAACGGGUGAGUAAUGCAUUGGAACGUACCGAGUAGUGGGGGAUAACUAGUCGAAAGAUUAGCUAAUACCGCAUACGCAUUGAGAUGGAAAGCGGGGGAUCUUAGGACCUCGCGCUAUUUGAGCGGCCAAUGUCUGAUUAGCUAGUUGGUGGGGUAAAGGCCUACCAAGGCGACGAUCAGUAGCGGGUCUGAGAGGAUGAUCCGCCACACUGGGACUGAGACACGGCCCAGACUCCUACGGGAGGCAGCAGUGGGGAAUUUUGGACAAUGGGCGAAAGCCUGAUCCAGCCAUGCCGCGUGUCUGAAGAAGGCCUUCGGGUUGUAAAGGACUUUUGUCAGGGAAGAAAAGGUGAUUGCUAAUAUCAGUCGCUGAUGACGGUACCUGAAGAAUAAGCACCGGCUAACUACGUGCCAGCAGCCGCGGUAAUACGUAGGGUGCGAGCGUUAAUCGGAAUUACUGGGCGUAAAGCGAGCGCAGACGGUUUGUUAAGCAGGAUGUGAAAUCCCCGAGCUCAACUUGGGAACGGCGUUCUGAACUGGCAAGCUAGAGUAUGUCAGAAGGGGGUAGAAUUCCACGUGUAGCAUUGAAAUGC